AAAAUAAGAUGAAAUAAAAUAAGUUGAAUGAGCUGCAGGUUUUCUUUUUUUGAGAAGGUCGUUAUAAAUAUUUCAGGUUUUUUUGUGGAAUUGGAACCAUAGUAUUAUCUCAUCCACUCUUUAUUUGCAUUUAAGAAAAUCUCAUCUCUGAUGUUUUGGUAUUGUCUUUCACUGCAGUAGGUAAACAGCAAAGACUGCCCCCGCUGUACAUUGGUAUUGCCCUCAUAUUUUUUUUGUUUUGUUCAUAGUCAUCAUUUGGCAGAACUCAGGGGACGCACAGUUCUUCCCCUCCUUUUUCUUUUUCUCAGCUCUGUGGCCUGGACUCAGUUUCUCAGGAGCAGGGAGGAGAGGUGGAGGAACUGUGCCACUGUUCCUUUGUCUGGGCUUGUUGUUCACCCUCAGGCAGAUUUCAUCUGCAGUCACCUACCCAAGACUUCCAUUUCAUCUGCUUUUUGAUCUGAUGUGCUGUAAUGAGGGGAAAGGACCGAAAACCACCAUCAGCACACCCGUAAAGCCCUGUCCCUGUCCCAGUGCAGCCCUGGGAGAAGACACCAGACCUCCAGCCAGGGUGCCAGGCUGCAAGUCAUGGCAGCACACAGCCUUGCUUGGGUUAAUCUGCUUUCUUCCUAUUAGCCCACGGGAGCUUUGCAGUGUCCCCUGUAGCUGGGCUGCUGGGGACAUCUCUGCCCUGUGCUGUAGGAACCUCAUGGUUCCCGUGACAGCUCUGGGUUCGUGGCUGUGCCUGCACAUCACCCAGUAAUGCUCAAAGUGUGUUUCAGUCCAGGUUGUGACCCUGUGAAACUGGAAAGAGUUUAAUUAUUUUUCUCUCCAUUUCUGGUGUAUUUAGCACUGCAGAAUGCUUCUUCCUGUGUGACUUUGUACUUCUGCAUUGGGCAAAUGCUUGGAAUAUUAUUGACAGUCUUUCCAAAACUAUUCAUCAUUUGAGAGCUGUAGGAGCAUUAAGGAUAUGUGUCUUUAUUAGUCAGAGGAGAGAAUGGGCAAGUCUUUACCAAAUAUUUGAGCCUGGAAACUUUCACAUUUCUGGCUAUCCAGAGUGCCAUUCUGUAAUGCAACUACAACCAGUGAAGCAUUACAUUUCACUGGGUAUUUCAUAGUCCUAAAGUUGUAACAUGUGGCCGCCAGAAACUUUUGACUUUCCUUCUUGAUGCAGGCAUUCAAGCAUUAAAUUUGUUUCAAGUUCAGUGUUAGCUUAUAUAUUUCUCCUGAGUUCCCAUUCUUGUUCCCCUCAGCUGUGCUGAUUUAGCCACUUGUGGUUUGGUAGGAUGAGCUGGGUCAUGAAGUUUUACACAGAAAGACAGAAAAAAGAAAAUUCACUUUCCAUGUGCAAAGGGUGUAUAUAUAAGAUAGGUUGUGGUAGUGUUCCUUGACACCAGAAAUGCUCAAGAAACCAUUUCUUCAGGGAAUGCUAUUACUACAAAUUAAAAUAAUUAAUUUACUGAGAUGCUGCUCCUGUUCUUCCUCUUAGGCUCUGCAGACCCUUCCACUUCAAGCUCCCUAUGCUUUGAGGUACAAACUGUGUAGCCUAGCUGUUGGUAUGGAUGAGUAUUUUCUAACUACUAACCGUGUUCCCUCUCCAAAAAAAGUAAUUUUCAGCUGAGUUCAUGAUGGAGGUGUUUCUACCUGCCCUGAGUUAUAUAUACUGUUUAUCAGGAAUUAAACACCUUUCUUAAAUCACUGAACCUCCCUCCCUGACUGUGGACUUUGAUGUGAUCACCCUCACAGUCAGCACUGGGGCUGGACUUGUCUUGUACAAUCACAGAAUGGUUUGGGUUGGAAAGGACUUUAAAAAUCACACCAACAGGUCGCUGUCUUUCCUGUUCUGGGGACCCCAGAGCUGGGUGCAGCACUGCAGGUGGGGUCUCAUCAGAAUGAAGAAAGAGGCAGAAUCACCUCCCUCUACCUACUGGCCAACCCUUUCUUGAUGCAGCCCAGGAUUCAAUUGGCUUUCUGGGCUGUGAGCACACAUUGCUGGCUCAUGUCUUUGUGCUGGUUUGCUCUGUGGAAGCUCCUCACCAUUGAGUUCGAUCUCAUUUAGGUGAGCAGUUCAUUUCCCAGGCAGUAGGUGUCAUUCCUGCAACUUGAGAUCUCACAGUUGUAUUUCUGUCUUUCUUUGGCUUCGUGUAGGUGUCAGGAUGGAUAGACAUCUUUUUCUGUGAAAAGAGAGUAAAAUAGAAAAUGAAAAAAAAAGCAAGCUGUGUAGUACUGUGAUUCUUGCUGUGCCACGGGUGCAGGCACAGGGAAAUGCUCCAGCAGUUUGUGUUUCUGCAGCAAGGCUGGUCAGACCCAGUCCUUGUUGUGGGGGUGAGCUCCAUGGUGCAGGCAUGCUGUACCUCCUGGGCUGGUCUGCAGCUGCUAAAUCUCUUAGCCUUUUUGGCAUCAUUGCUUUAUCUGCUGGAGGAUGAAAAUUCUUACCUGAGAGGGAAUUAAGAUGUUAAGUAGCUGGGUCUCAGUCUAGCACUGGAUUUAAGGCUUAAGUUUGGUCCUGUUGAAGUCCUUGCUUUGCUGGAUUGAAAUCUCCUGUUCAAAAAGCGAUUCUGAGGAUGACAACCAUCUUUGUAGUAAAUGUUAAGCAUUACAGCAAAGUUCAUUAUGUAUUGCCAUCCAUUCAUUCCUUCUUCCCCUUUCUUCUUUUCCCAUUCCCAUCAUUCGCUGCUUCUUAGCAUGUGUGUAACUUCCUUCCUUUAUCCCUUGCCAGUAAGCCACUCCCCCAGUAAUGAGGAGAUCUAGAAAAUCCAGUGAAAUGGCAUUAACAAGAAGCAGGGCCGUGGCCACCAUAAUCCCUUUAAUUGCAUGUUAAUGCUUUUCUUUCCAGAGCUGUACACAUUUUGGGAGCUGGCUGCAGUGAUGUUCCAAGCGUGUGUGUCUGCAUGCAACAGGAACAGCUAAACACACCCAGGGCUGCUGAGUGCUCAUGAUGAGAGGAUAGCUUAAAUAAGUAAAUUCAAGUCCAAAAGCUGCAGUUGGAUCUGUCUGUUACAUGUCUGCUGGAUGAGUAGGAAUAUGUCUUCAGCACUGAACAGACUGUCACUGCUCAAUUCAUGGUUCAUGGUCCAGAGGACAUCAAAAGAGAGAUCAAAAAUUGUCUACAAAAAUUUAAAAAAUCGGAAAAAAGUUUAAAAUCAUCCCCAUAUGCACAUAUUUCAUGCAGUUUGUAUGUGUGUACCUAUCUCUGUUAGCUCCUUACUGUUCUUAUUAGCCACUUAAAAUACUUUUGAUACUAAAAUUAAUUUAUUACAUGGCUCUGUUUUGUCUGUCAUUCUAGGUCCCACCUGCCAAACAGUAGUGAGAUUUGAGAUAAUCUGUGAAUUUCUUUUUGAAAAGUAUUUUUAAUUUAAAAUGAGAGGAGUACUGGACGAGUAUAUUUUGACAGAAUGAGGUAGCUUUAAUAUUAUGACUUCAUCAUGAGUUAGUGUUGAGUGCUGCAACCCAUUUGCAUGCUAUCUUUCUUUUCAUUAACUAAAUACAUCACCUAGGUGAAUAUAAGUCUGUUUUUGAUCCCACAGUUGUUGAAAAGUAAGGGUUUUAUCAUCCAAAUAAAGCAGCCUUCUCAGGCAAUAAAUUUCUUUGACUGUUUAGUAAGUAGAAGAGAGAAGAAUGAACUUACAUGUUCAUUUUACCUGUAUGCUUAAUAAAAUGUCCUUUAUCUGUCCCUGUUUGUUGUCUUGCUUGUCUGGUAAUAAGAGCCAUCUUUGAGUAGGUGAGACAAGGAGUUACAUCUCUUCAUCACACUUUGGCAGGUGCAGUAUUGCCCAUUAGAGGUGCUGCUUUGUCAGCUGUCACCAAAGUGAUCCACAGCUCCCAACACCAGCUCAGAUUCCGCUGGUAGCCCAGUGUUGUGAUGGAUCCUCCUACAGCCUGCCCGGCUGCCUCUUGGCUUUGUGUUUAUUUGUUUUCAUUGGUGCUGAACUGUCAGACUUUAGCUCACAGCACUCAGAACCACACACAGCUGUCUCCAAGGCUGCUGGGGUGAGGGGUGAUGCCCAGGGAUGUCUGGUUCAUCCCACACCCAGGAGCAGUCCAGAGGCACUUGCCUGUACCUGCAGGUCAGCCCAGAGCCAUCAGCCUCCAUCCUUGGGGGUUCCAGCUGCUCACAUCUAAUGCUGGAGGCAGGGACAAAGCUGGCUGAUGCUACGGCAUUCAGGCCUUAAUCUUGAAAGGACUUGUGCGCAUUCCUGACCUUAUUAGUGGGAGCAGCAUCCUUGGUGCUUGUGACCCUAAUGGCUGUUUGCUGAGACCACUGACCGUGAUAAAUGUCUCCUCAUCAUCCUUUUGCUUCAGAGAUUUGGACACCUUUUGUGACCCUUCAAAGAUGAUAAUCCUGAGUGGACACUGGAAAACAAACAACACAGCUGAAGGUUCCCUGAAAAAUAUAUAAAGGUAUGCCUGGGUAUUAAAGGUUAAGCUUGACCUUGCUAGACCCUUGUCUUUUAUUUGAAUGCAGUAGGAUUAUAAUCUAAUAUCAAUUUCCCUCUCUGAUUCCCCAACACCCAUCUCAGUAUGAUAGGCCUGAACUGCAGUUCACUUUCACAGAUGGUACCUGCAUCACAGAAAAUAUUAGAUGACUGGUGCCCUAAAUACGACAGAGUGCAUUUGUCUACACAUCUGUGUAGACAGAAAAAUCUUUUUAAUGGUAAAAAGCAUAGUCACAUAAGAGGAAUGUGAAGGGAGUUUGCUAGAAGACUCAGGGGUGACUUUUUAAGUGUUGGAGCAGGGUAAGCAAAAUGAGAAGACCUUGAAACUGUGAAUAAACAUGGCAACUCAAUUUAACAUGUCUGCCUGAAGAAGCAGGCUUUUAUGUUUUUUUGUUAUUUUAUUACAAACAAGAACUUUGAUAACUGCUGUGUUUUCUCAACAGUAAAAAACACGUCAAAUAUUUUUGUGACCUGCUAUUUGAAAAAUAACCACAUCAAAUGCUUCAGCUUCCUUGAGGAUUGUUGCAUUUUCCUUCAGGACAUGCAUUUCUCAUGGCCCAUCGGCAUCUGUUCAGUCCUUGCAGUGCAGGAGGAUGAAGUGAAGACUCCCAGGGUCUGAUUUUCUCUCCAGCCUCCAGGCACCAGAGGAACUUUAGUGAAGACAGAGGCAGGAAACUUUAGUGAAGACAGAACCUUCAUGGAAACUGAGCAUGCAGCAGCCCUGGCAGUGUGUCCUCACUGGGAUACACAGCUUUGAGUACCCCUUUCCUGGGGGUGAACUCAUUGACAGCUCAAAACUGCUGAUUAUGGAGGGAAUUUUUGCAGCAUCUCCUCAGGAUUUUGCUGUCUGUCUCUAUUCUAAAGCUGUCUGAGCAAGGAUUUGAAGGAAAACUAAUCCUAAUCACCAAAAAUGUGAAUGUAAAAUAAAUUAGGUAAACUAAAUCAAACCAUUUUAUAUAUAUUAUCUGAUUCAGCAUUCAUGUGACCUUAAUUUGAUUAAGUUUAAUUCACCAAAUAUGAAAGAGGGUUGAUUUAAUUAAUAAUGAGUGUGUCUGCAGGGAUCUAGUGUGGUUUCAUUCAUUACAGAAAUGUUAAUUCAGAUUACCUUUCUAGAGUUUUCUCAUGCAGAUAAACCUUACAGGACAGUUUAUUAGUUAGGCCUAAACUAGUGUAAUUGUGUGUUUAUUCCCCCUUGGCUCUAGAAGGACUUUCCCACUGCUCUCCUCUUGUGGUAAUUCCAUGAGCAUUUUGUUGUGGGAUGUUUUGUUAAUCUGUUAAUCCAGGCAAAGGAAAUUCAUCAGUUUUCUGUUGGUUUAGUCACCUUUUCACCUGAUUUGUGGCUGCAUGGUGCUUCACAGGCGAAGACAGGAGUGUGAAUGUUUGAUCAAGGUGGAGAGGGUGGGAACUCACUUCAGGUCAAACCCUUUGUGCAAGAGACACCCUGCUUGCACCCACACUGCUGGGCUACACAGCACAUGGACAGAAGAAAUGAGCUUUGCUGGAGUUGUUUAAAGUCACAAACCACCAAUUUUGAUUUUCUUGGUGUUUUGGUACAAGUGUGAUGUGUUUCUUGGCUUUGGCUUGUACUCCUUCCCUCUGGCUUUUUGUCUCCUUUGUGCCUCAGUAGUACAGAGCAGCAUCACCCCAGGAGCUCAUGCCCUCAA